UGGGGAAUAUUGGGCAAUGGGGGAAACCCUGACCCAGCGACGCCGCGUGAGGGAGGAAGGCCUUAGGGUCGUAAACCUCUGUUGUGUGGGAAGAAGAGCGUGACGGUACCACACGAGGAAGUCCCGGCUAACUACGUGCCAGCAGCCGCGGUAAUACGUAGGGGACGAGCGUUGUCCGGAUUUACUGGGCGUAAAGGGCGCGUAGGCGGUCAUUUAAGUCAGCUGUGAAAUGGUGCGGCUUAACCGCAUCAUGCGGUUGAAACUGGAUGACUGGAGUGCUGGAGAGGCAAGUGGAAUUCCCAGUGUAGCGGUGAAAUGCGUAGAUAUUGGGAAGAACACCGGUGGCGAAGGCGACUUGCUGGCCAGCAACUGACGCUGAGGCGCGAAAGCCAGGGGAGCAAACGG
rnacentral:rRNA from 1 species